rnacentral:rRNA from 1 species
GAUGAACGCUGGCGGCGUGCCUAACACAUGCAAGUCGAGCGAGAUUAAGUGUAGUGAGGGCUUCGGCCUGAGUGAAGCUUAUGAAAGCGGCGGACGGGUGAGUAACGCGUGGGCAACCUGCCCCAUACAGAGGGAUAGCCACUGGAAACGGUGAUUAAUACCUCAUAAGUCAGUAGGAUCGCAUGAUUUAGCUGACAAAGAUUUAUCGGUAUGGGAUGGGCCCGCGUCUGAUUAGCUAGUUGGUGAGGUAACGGCUCACCAAGGCGACGAUCAGUAGCCGACCUGAGAGGGUGAUCGGCCACACUGGAACUGAGACACGGUCCAGACUCCUACGGGAGGCAGCAGUGGGGAAUAUUGCACAAUGGGCGCAAGCCUGAUGCAGCAACGCCGCGUGAGUGAUGAAGGCCUUCGGGUUGUAAAACUCUGUCCUAUGGGAAGAAACAAAUGACGGUACCAUGGGAGGAAGCCCCGGCUAACUACGUGCCAGCCGCCGCGGUAA